CGUCUAUAUACGUAUAGCAUAUCAAAUAAGCGGAGGAAAAGAAACUAACUAGGAUUCCCUCAGUAACGGCGAGUGAAGCGGGAAGAGCUCAAAUUUGAAAUCUUCAAGGUUCUACCUUGACGAAUUGUAGUUUAAAGAAGUGUUUUCUGUUGGAGUUUUGGUAAAAGUUCUUUGGAAUAGGACAUCAUAGAGGGUGAGAAUCCCGUAUUUGACAUGUUACUUUCCAGCUGUGUGAUACACUUUCAAAGAGUCGGAUUGUUUGGGAAUGCAGUCCAAAAUGGGUGGUAAAUUUCAUCUAAAGCUAAAUACUGGCGAGAGACCGAUAGCGAACAAGUACCGUGAGGGAAAGAUGAAAAGAACUUUGAAAAGAGAGUUAAACAGUACGUGAAAUUGUCAAAAGGGAAGCGUUUGACACCAGUGUUGUUUUUCCGAAAAUCAAUUACGAAUGGCUUGAUUUUGUGUUGUAUUGACCUUAUCAGCUUUCUUCACUUUUUUCGAGUCUUUCUUAAUGCACUUUUCGGUUAACAAGUCAACAUCAAUUUCUUUUGUUGUAAAAGAGUAUUCGGAAGGCUGGCUUUCUUUUCGGAGAAAGUGUUUAUAGCCCUAUACUUCUACAAUCGGAGAGAUUGAGGUCUGCAGCGUAGAUCCUUCGGGGUUAGAUACACUUUGUGCUAAGUUGUAGCUUUUCAUAGACAACUUGUUGACUAUGUUUAGUCAUGUCGCUUACUCGCUUAUGCUAUUUUACCUACGCUUAGGAUGUUGACUGAUAUGUAGUCGUA
rnacentral:rRNA from 1 species